rnacentral:rRNA from 1 species
UACGAAGGGGGCUAGCGUUGCUCGGAAUCACUGGGCGUAAAGCGCACGUAGGCGGAUUGCUAAGUCAGGGGUGAAAUCCUGGAGCUCAACUCCAGAACUGCCCUUGAUACUGGCGGUCUCGAGUCCGGGAGAGGUGAGUGGAACUGCGAGUGUAGAGGUGAAAUUCGUAGAUAUUCGCAAGAACACCAGUGGCGAAGGCGGCUCACUGGCCCGGUACUGACGCUGAGGCGCGAAAGCUAGGGGAGCAAACAGG